UAAUACGUAGGGUCCAAGCGUUAUCCGGAAUUACUGGGCGUAAAGCGUACGUAGGCGGCGCGUUAAGUGCAACGCGAAAUCUUGCGGCUCAACCGUAUAGACUGUGUUGCAUACUGGCGUGCUUGAGGAUGGCAGAGGCAAGUGGAAUUUGUAGUGUAGCAGUGAAAUGCGUAGAUAUUACAAGGAACACCAAUGGCGAAGGCAGCUUGCUGGGCCAUUUCUGACGCUGAGGUACGAAAGCGUGGGGAGCGAACAGGAUUAGAUACCCUGGUAGUCCACGCCGUAAACGAUGCACACUAUUAGUAUGGGGUAUCGACCCCCUGUGCUGAGAAGCUAACGCGAUAAGUGUGCCGCCUGGGGAGUACGAGCGCAAGCUUA
rnacentral:rRNA from 1 species